rnacentral:misc_RNA from 1 species
UUCAUCCCUAUGCUUCUUAAGCUGUGCUUUGGCCUCUAGCAAUCCCUUGCCCACCUCUUCAUCGUCUGGUGCUUCUUUAUGCAAGAUCUCGUAGUCUUGUAUUGAAGCUUCCCAUUUUUCCAACUUGGCGUAGCAAUCUGCUCUCCUUAGUCUAGCCUUGGAGUAAUUAGGACGCAUAUUGAGUGCACCAUUACAGUCCUCCACAGCUUUUUCAUACUGGCCAAGCUUAGACCGACAGGCGGCUCG